AAGGGCUUCGACGGGAGAGGCUGGUCCCAGGCUGCGAGUCGAGAGGCGCCGACCUCGAAAAAUCAGCGCAAAAAACAAGUGCCAAUCGCACAACUGUAACCGCUCUGCCUCUCGCUGCAUAAGCGAGUGAAGGAGCCAAUGGCCCCCUAAUCCGGGCCACGUCCGCUCACCCCGCUCUCUUGCCGGUGGUGAGACCGGGCGACACAAAGCAAGAGUGCCGCAAGUUACGCCGCUAACCUUGCGAAAGAGGGGCUCUCGGGUCCCAGCGGCUGGUUGGAUGAGUGCCUUGGCCGAUUGUGGCCCAUUCAACGACAAUUACAACCGGCUACACUCGUAGAAGCUUGAGGGUCUAUUCUUUCGGACGCGGGUUCUUUAACAAUCGAAUAGAGCCCCCU
rnacentral:tmRNA from 1 species